rnacentral:tRNA from 1 species
GCGGGUAUGGUGAAACUGGCAAACACGCCGGAUUUAGGAUCCGGUGGAGCAAUCCUUGCAGGUUCAAGUCCUGUUACCCGCACCA